AGAGUUUGAUCCUGGCUCAGGAUGAACGCUAGCUACAGGCUUAACACAUGCAAGUCGAGGGGCAGCAUGAAGUCAGCUUGCUGACUUUGAUGGCGACCGGCGCACGGGUGAGUAACGCGUAUCCAACCUGCCCUUUGCUCGGGUAUAGCCCACUGAAAAGUGGAUUAACCCCCGAUAUGUUUCCGGCAGACAUCUAAUGGAAAUGAAAGUUUACGGCAAAGGAUGGGGAUGCGUCCGAUUAGCUUGUUGGCGGGGUAACGGCCCACCAAGGCGACGAUCGGUAGGGGUUCUGAGAGGAAGGUCCCCCACAUUGGAACUGAGACACGGUCCAAACUCCUACGGGAGGCAGCAGUGAGGAAUAUUGGUCAAUGGACGGAAGUCUGAACCAGCCAAGUAGCGUGCAGGAUGACGGCCCUACGGGUUGUAAACUGCUUUUAUGCGGGGAUAAAGCGGGCGACGUGUCGCCCUUUGCAGGUACCGCAUGAAUAAGGACCGGCUAAUUCCGUGCCAGCAGCCGCGGUAAUACGGAAGGUCCGGGCGUUAUCCGGAUUUAUUGGGUUUAAAGGGAGCGUAGGCCGCCUUUUAAGCGUGUUGUGAAAUGCAGGCGCUCAACGUCUGCACUGCAGCGCGAACUGGAGGGCUUGAGUGUGCGGAAAGAUGGCGGAAUUCGUCGUGUAGCGGUGAAAUGCUUAGAUAUGACGAAGAACUCCGAUUGCGAAGGCAGCUGUCUGCAGCAUUACUGACGCUGAUGCUCGAAAGGUGCGGGUAUCGAACAGGAUUAGAUACCCUGGUAGUCCGCACGGUAAACGAUGGAUGCCCGCUGUUCCGUCCUCGGACGGUGCGGCCAAGCGAAAGCAUUAAGCAUCCUCACCU
rnacentral:rRNA from 1 species